AUGUGGGAAACCACGAUGCGGGAACACCAAGUGCCAGCACAUAGUGUUGGCUGUUUGCGAGCCUAAAAAGCUCGGAGAGUAAGGGCUGGGUAAGACGGGUGCCAGCCGCCGCGGUAAUACCUGCAGCCCAAGUGGUGGCCGUUAUUAUUGGGCCUAAAGCGUCCGUAGCCGGUUUGGUAGAUGCCUUUGUAAAUCGAACGGCUCAACCGUUCGACUUGAGGGUAGACCGCCAGACUCGGGAUCGGGAGAGGUGCGAGGUACUCGGGGGGUAGAGGUGAAAUUCUGUAAUCCUCCGGGGACCACCGGUGGCGAAGGCGUCGCACUUGAACGACUCCGACGGUGAGGGACGAAGCCCUGGGGCGCAAACCGGAUUAGAUACCCGGGUAGUCC
rnacentral:rRNA from 1 species